UACGAAGGGGGCUAGCGUUGUUCGGAAUUACUGGGCGUAAAGCGCGCGUAGGCGGUUUUGCAAGCCAGAGGUGAAAUGCCUGAGCUCAACUUAGGAAUUGCCUUUGGGACUGCGAGGCUUUGAGGACUGGAGAGGUGAGUGGAAUUCCCAGUGAUAGAGGUGAAAUUCGUAGAUAUCUGGAGGAAUACCGGUGGCGAAGGCGGCAUCCGUGGACCGACAUUGACGCUGAUGAGCGAAAGCUAGGGGAGCAAACGGG
rnacentral:rRNA from 1 species